ACUAGAAACUCAAAGGACUUGACGGUGUCCCAAACCAACCUAGAGGAGCCUGUCCUAUAAUCGAUAAUCCACGUUACACCCCACCCCCUCUUGAAACCAGCCUGUAUACCGCCGUCUUUCAGUUCGCCUUAUGACAGCCUAAAGCGAACACAAUAGCCCACUACUAAAACGUCAGGUCAAGGUGCAGCCAAUGAGGGGGCAGCGAUGGGCUACAUUUUCUACCAUAACAGAACACCACCAAACACCACAUGAAACAUGGGGUUAAAAGGCGGAUUUAGCAGUAAGCCAGACA
rnacentral:rRNA from 1 species